UACGUAGGGGGCAAGCGUUGUCCGGAAUCAUUGGGCGUAAAGCGCGUGUAGGCGGCCCGGUAAGUCCGCUGUGAAAGUCCAGGGCUCAACCCUGGAAUGCCGGUGGAUACUGUCGGGCUCGAGUCCGGAAGAGGCGAGUGGAAUCCUGGUGUAGCGGUGAAAUGCGCAGAUAUCAGGAAGAACACCCGUGGCGAAGGCGGCUCUCUGGGACGGUACUGACGCUGAGACGCGAAAGCGUGGGGAGCGAACAGG
rnacentral:rRNA from 1 species